GGACUAGAUUCAGCAGAUGUGUCUCUUGCUCAGCAGGGAAGACAUUAGUAAUCUGGAGCCAGGUACUGGAAGAUCAAGAGAAGCUAAAAACAGGAAAAGAGGCUAACAAUUGCUAAGCACCUGUAGGGCUGCUGUUGGAUGACUGGAAUUAGCAGCAGGGAAAGCUACUAGAAUGGAGUUCCUGUUGUUAGAGUUGCACAACCUUGUCAGUCAACAAGACCUUUGUGUCAAUCUCUUCCUUUCCAUAACACUUUUGGGAAAUGUGCUGAUUGAGGAAAACUGCAUUUUCAUCUUCCUUGUUGACAAACACUAUGACUAAUUGAUUGACAGAGGAGUGUGUCUCCAUGGCCAUCUUAGUGAUGAAUCCCUGGAAUCUUGCCUGUUCCCUCCUGUUUUUUCUUUUCCUCUCCUUAUGGCAUUUUGUAUCUUGUUGGAUGACUCCAUACAUUUUGCGUUAUUGUUUUCACCUAUUGUAAAGAGCCAACCUAAUUAUCAUAUAUGUGGCAUUUCCCUGAAUUCCAUCCCUUUGUCACACAAUAGCAUGACCAAGAAACAGAGCCAAGGGUAGGACUGUGCAGAUCAAUGGCUCCACAUGAUGCAACCUGAGACACAGUUGUGGGGAGCAUAAGCAUGCUAGCAGUUAUCUUAGGCUACCUUAGCAGUCCCCAGGACACUGUUUGGAAAUUGCUGAACUAAAAUGAAAACCCAAGAAAUGUAUGAGGGCAACAACAGAAGAUUUGGAAACAGAAGCAGCCAUAGGUCAAAUAGGUCCCAGAAUCAUCUCAGUAUAGACCGCCACAUUUGACCAUGGGAAGCCAGAGGGACACAUCCACCAUCACACUGACUUACAUGUAUAAUAAA